AGAGAGAGAGAAAACUUAAUUUCCGGCAGAGUGCUGCGCUGGGUUCCGACCCAUGGGUAUGGUGGCUAGAUCAUGGGGGAAGGAAAUAACAGGAGGGAGCAUGACGUCACGCACCCAGCCUUGGCAAGCCAACCCGUUUUGAAGCCAACAAAGUCGGCCCUUUUGCCGUGAGAUCACGCAAUAAACGAGACUUGCCGAUACCUCGAAAUACGGCGCCCGGUAGCUUUUAAUCGAAAUGAACUGGUUCGGCGCAGACUGGCCGGCUCACGGAGGUGUUUCAAAGACGGAACAGCGCCGAGAGAACUAAAACCUACCGCGAGCGCUGACGUUUUGGUCACUUGUUGGGCCGACUUGGUGGGCUUCAAUCGAGUUGCGCAACGCUCCCUCCUGUCUUUCCUUCCUCCAUGUUCCGAUCUGUGGUUCAGACCUAGAAGUUUAUUCCGCGCAAUCCACGUCUCCCGGCAGACCCAGAGUUGCUUGUCCAGACCAAAACUGAACAGCGCAGUCCGACACUAGAAAUGAUUAUUUUAUUUUGACUGUUCACUUUAUUCACCACAGCAGAAAUUUAUUUAAAUCAUUGUUUAAAAAUAAUCCCUUAACGUGCUUUAUCCAGUCGAAAACUAAAAACUCAGGAAAAACGUCAUCAUCAUCAUCACUUAGCGACUUUUGGCUGAAAUUGACGACUUUUAGGAAGCGUUCUGGCGACUUAGGCCCCCCAAAAGUUACCACCACUGCAUGGCACGCAAGGCUCCCCUUGCGUGGUUGCAGAGGUCAAGCAAGUAUUGUGGGCAUCGGAGAUUCCGAGAACGUUUUCGGGGAACAGGUCAGUGGAGUGCUGUGGGCCUGCUGAUGGCUGUCCAAGUAUGUGUAUCGUCCUGCCGACAUGGGAAGUGAGGCGCAUGCAGUUCGAUGAGCCCAUUGUUCGACGAAAACUAUUGCAAUGGUUCCCGGCCGCGACACUCAUGGCAGAUGACAACCAUGCAGCUCGGGCUGCUAAUUGAGCGUGGCGAGCGGCAGUCUUUUUGUUGCAGCGGUCGUACGAGCAUGACACCUAUGACCCAGCCACCCACUCACAUCAAGAAAUGGACACGUUGGCGCCAUAGGUAAACUGUGCAAUGCUAUAGUAAAAAACACCGAGAGGAAGAUUCGUCUGGUUUCACGGUAUAUUCGUCACGUAGCAAAAUGCUUGUCCUGUAGUUAUUCUAAAUAAACUUCAAGUUUCCUUCAGUAUCCAAUUAA